rnacentral:rRNA from 1 species
GCAGUCGAACGAAGCACUUAAACCUGAUUCUUCGGAUGAAGGUUUUUCUGACUGAGUGGCGGACGGGUGAGUAACGCGUGGGUAACCUGCCUCAUACAGGGGGAUAACAGUUAGAAAUGACUGCUAAUACCGCAUAAGACCACGGAGCCGCAUGGCUCAGUGGGAAAAACUCCGGUGGUAUGAGAUGGACCCGCGUCUGAUUAGGUAGUUGGUGGGGUAACGGCCUACCAAGCCAACGAUCAGUAGCCGACCUGAGAGGGUGACCGGCCACAUUGGGACUGAGACACGGCCCAAACUCCUACGGGAGGCAGCAGUGGGGAAUAUUGCACAAUGGGGGAAACCCUGAUGCAGCGACGCCGCGUGAGCGAAGAAGUAUUUCGGUAUGUAAAGCUCUAUCAGCAGGGAAGAAAAUGACGGUACCUGACUAAGAAGCACCGGCUAAAUACGUGCCAGCAGCCGCGGUAAUACGUAUGGUGCAAGCGUUAUCCGGAUUUACUGGGUGUAAAGGGAGCGUAGACGGCUGUGUAAGUCUGAAGUGAAAGCCCGGGGCUCAACCCCGGGACUGCUUUGGAAACUAUGCAGCUAGAGUGUCGGAGAGGUAAGUGGAAUUCCCAGUGUAGCGGUGAAAUGCGUAGAUAUUGGGAGGAACACCAGUGGCGAAGGCGGCUUACUGGACGAUGACUGACGUUGAGGCUCGAAAGCGUGGGGAGCAAACAGGAUUAGAUACCCUGGUAGUCCACGCCGUANACGAUGACUACUAGGUGUCGGGGANCAAAGCUCUUCGGUGCCGCAGCAAACGCAAUAAGUAGUCCACCUGGGGAGUACGUUC